UAGGGAAUCUUCGGCAAUGGGGGGAACCCUGACCGAGCAACGCCGCGUGAGUGAAGAAGGUUUUCGGAUCGUAAAGCUCUGUUGUUAAGGAAGAACGAGUGUGAGAAUGGAAAGUUCAUGCUGUGACGGUACUUAACCAGAAAGGGACGGCUAACUACGUGCCAGCAGCCGCGGUAAUACGUAGGUCCCGAGCGUUGUCCGGAUUUAUUGGGCGUAAAGCGAGCGCAGGCGGUUAGAAAAGUCUGAAGUGAAAGGCAGUGGCUCAACCAUUGUAGGCUUUGGAAACUGUUUAACUUGAGUGCAGAAGGGGAGAGUGGAAUUCCAUGUGUAGCGGUGAAAUGCGUAGAUAUAUGGAGGAACACCGGUGGCGAAAGCGACUUUCUGGACGAACACUGACGCUGAGGCGCGAAAGCCAGGGGAGCGAACGGG
rnacentral:rRNA from 1 species